rnacentral:lncRNA from 1 species
UAAAAAAAUCAUGAGUUCCAUCAAUCAAGGUCAUGCAAACAGCAAAAGGAUUUGAAUGUCGACAGUGGGAGAGAUCGAAUGUGAACGGGUGGAUAAGUAACAUCUGUCAAUUAACAGCACACUGUCGCUGAACAUCAGGUGAACAUAAUUCAACUGAAUGCAAAUAUGCAGCAACAAACACUGGACAAAUGGAAAUGAAAGGAAUGCGUACGGGAUUUUAUUGGAAAGGACAAAUAUGUGUACACAUACAUAUAUGAAUGCACAUAUGUAAGUAUUGCUCAAAAAUAAUGUGAACUGCUGCUUGGUUGGCUGCGCUUAAACUUCUUUUUGACCGAUCGCCUAACAUUAUGACGAUUUAUUUAUUAUGGGUGAUUAGUACUAAUGAGUGGAAGGACGCAAAUGUGAAUAUUUACCAGCGCACUACAGUCGUAUAUGGAAUACCCAUAAAUAUGAAAGGGAGCUGAUUUCAGAAACUCCAAAAAUGCAAGAAAGCUGUAAACUUCUGCUCGAUUUUGGUACCUCCAAUAAUGAAUGGAAGUUGUAAAUCUUGGACAGAUUUCUAUUGGUAUGAUCGGUCUAUAUUGUUUAAGAUUUAUACAUAAAACAAUAUAGGGAACUUAAAAAGUCACAUAAUCAUAAGGACGAGAUGAAAUAAAAUUAGCAUUGUGGUGCUUUAAGCUCCCAAGCUGACUACCGUCGAACCGCUUUAUGAUCGAUCACCUGCUUCAAAAUACGAAACAAGCUGACAAUUGGGAGCGCAUAAACUCGUAGAUUAAAGUUAUUUCUUGACCUAAUGAUAAUAUGAUACGUAUGUACUUAAGUAUAUAUCUAAUAAAAAUCUAUAAAAUCUGGA